GGAGAGCGACGGGCGAUGUGUACGCAUUUCAGAGCUCAUUUCAAAAUAAAAUUUUAUUUUAAAUUUACUACUAAAUCCACCUUCAUAAUCUUAUUACUCCAAUUAAUCCGUAUAAUUCAAAUUUAUUGUAACCCACUACUCCCAUACUUAUAAGCUGCACCUUGACCUGAAGUCCUAGUUAGUAACUAAUUAGAUUAUAUUCUUCAAAAAUAUUCUGACAACGGCGGUAUACAAACUGUAAACAAAAAUAUGUACAUUAAAACGUGGAUUAUCGAUCCAAGAGCAGGUUCCUCUAGUAAGAAUGAAAUACCGCCAAAUUCUUUAGGUUUAAAAAUCUUUACUACCCGGGCAUAAAUAAUUUAAAAAAUAAUAGGGUAUCUAAUCCUAGUCUAAGUUUCUAUUUUUAAAGACUACAACUUCUAUUUUAAUUUUCCACUUAAAAAAUCAAAAAUUUUACCCCUAAUCUUUUAUUCAGAAAAUCAAUCCAAAAAUUUUAUUCACUUAAUUCCACCAAACUAUUUUAUUUGAACCCUUCGUAUAACC
rnacentral:rRNA from 1 species